CUGAUAUCUAUCCGUCCGAAAAUAUUUGUUAUUAAAAUGGAUAAAAAGGAUGUAUCUAGAACUAAAAUACAUUUAGAUACAUCCCCUUUUAUUUAUUUUGAUGACAAGUAUUUUUGGACGGAGAAAGUACGUG
rfam:Triticum urartu cultivar G1812 contig20233, whole genome shotgun sequence.